UGCAGUCGAACGGCAGCACGGGAGUAAUCCUGGUGGCGAGUGGCGAACGGGUGAGUAAUGUAUCGGAACGUGCCCAGUCGUGGGGGAUAACGCAGCGAAAGCUGUGCUAAUACCGCAUACGAUCUAUGGAUGAAAGCGGGGGAUCGCAAGACCUCGCGCGAUUGGAGCGGCCGAUAUCAGAUUAGCUAGUUGGUGGGGUAAAAGCUUACCAAGGCGACGAUCUGUAGCUGGUCUGAGAGGACGACCAGCCACACUGGAACUGAGACACGGUCCAGACUCCUACGGGAGGCAGCAGUGGGGAAUUUUGGACAAUGGGCGCAAGCCUGAUCCAGCAAUGCCGCGUGCAGGAUGAAGGCCUUCGGGUUGUAAACUGCUUUUGUACGGAGCGAAAAAGCUCUCUCUAAUACAGGGGGCUCAUGACGGUACCGUAAGAAUAAGCACCGGCUAACUACGUGCCAGC
rnacentral:rRNA from 1 species